UGGGAGACUGACACACGGAUAGAGCUAAGUUUUCUCUGUUCAUCAGAAUCUACUCCCUAGACAAAAAUUGCCUUUUUUUGACUGGGACGAAUUGAGGGAAAUCGUAACAGAUAGAUACGGGGCAAACACUC